ensembl:misc_RNA 7SK 7SK RNA
GGACAUGAGGGCGAGUUGGCUACAACAUCUGUCACCCUACUGAUCGCCUGGGUUAAUUUGGCUGAUCUGGCUGGCGAGAUGGGUGUCCCCUUCCUCCCUCACCACUCCAUGUGCGUCCCUCCCGAAGCUGCGCACUGGGUGGAAGAGGAUGCCCACCCCUGAUAAAGGAGGACCGUUUCCUCGGUCAGGGGUAUACUAGUAGCUGAGCUCCCCUGCUAGAACCUCCAAACAAGCUCUCAAGGUCCAACUAAAAAUCAGAUCCAAUUGCUCUCCCACCGCAUUGGAAAACCUUU